rnacentral:lncRNA from 1 species
GUGACCCGUCUUCCCCUCCUUGCUGCCUUUUGAAAACAACCGAGGAGGACAUAUGGGAGCAAUUAACCAAGCUGAAGUUUUGGUGGAUGCUUUAGGGUGACUUGUGUGGUUUCUUGAAUUUUCUCUCCCUCACUUAACUACAUGCACACACACAUACUCAAACACACUCACUUUCUGGGGCAAGAAUGAGCUAAGGGAGUUGGAAGUUGUACAGGACAUCUCGCCUGCUGUGUCUCUUUCUUUCCCGAAAGCGAAUUAGGGACGUUCAGGACUUGGUGUCUGCAGCCUCCUCCGACCGCUCUGGGCCUGCCCUAUGUUGUCUGUGCUACAUCGACGGAGGGCCAAUGUCUUGCUUCUGUCGGCGGGAGGAGGGAGAGCGAAAGCCGAGAUAGGGGCCUACAGAUUCAGGAGUCCUGGGUUCGCCAGCACCCCUCAGGAAUCCCAGGCAGCCAAUUCAGGCUGGGAGGCACAGCCCUCUCCACACCCGAAGGCCUUUAGGCCAGCCUUGGUCUCGGAACGAUCAGCUAGGACUGCUGCUGCCUUGUGCGGCCUGAGGGAACGUGCACGGGUCACCCCAAUGGUGUGUCUGGAGCAGCGAAUACAGAAGUUGCUGUAAGUGGAUUUAUUGGCAACCCCUAACCUCGCUGUGGCAAACCCGCCUUUAAAGACAACUGUGUUUUAAAUAAGUUCCUCAUAAAAACUUCAACCUCGUGCAGAGCUUCCCAGUACUGUAAAGAUACCCGGCGAUAAGUAUCCAUAUUUAAAGUUCUUAUGAGAAGAGACAGGAAGCAAAAUGCCACACAAUCUUUCUAUGUAAAUAAAAGAUGACUCAAGUUUGCUGGAUUUUUCAUCCAUAGUUUCAAAGGCCUGAUAUUACUGUGCUGAUAUUUGAGCAAUAAACAUAUCAACAGCCUUGAAGUCUUCCUGAAACAAAGCAGGAUAUGAAUAUUUAAAAUAAAAUAUAAACUUGUUAAACCAG